rnacentral:rRNA from 1 species
CCUACGGGUGGCAGCAGUCGGGAAUAUUGCGCAAUGGAGGAAACUCUGACGCAGUGACGCCGCGUGCAGGAAGAAGGUUUUCGGAUUGUAAACUGCUUUAGACAGGGAAGAAAAUAGCCAGUACUUGUAGAAUAAGACCCGGUUAACUACGUGCCAGCAGCCGCGGUAAAACGUAGGGAGCAAGCGUUCUCCGGAUUUAUUGGCUGUAACGGGUGCGUAGGCGGAGAAGCAAGUUAGUUGUGAAAUCCCUCGGCUUAACUAAGGAACUGCAACUAAAACUGCUUCCCUAGAGUACUGGAGAGGAAGGUGGAAUUCCUGGUGUAGCGGUAAAAUGCGUAGAUAUUAGGAGGAAUACCAGUGGCGAAGGCGACUUUCUAGACAAUAACUGACGUUGAGGCGCGAAAGUGUGGGGAGCAAACAGGAUUAGAUACCCGUGUAGUC